ACAUCCAGAAAGAUUCAUUUGAGUGGUGGUCCACGCUGGUGUGUCAGUCAGCACACUCUGUUCACAUGUCCUUGAGAGGCAGCUGGCAUCCUUGACUCUCUGACUCAGCAGCCGAUUAUUCUGCCAGGAUGCCACUACAGGAUGAGAAGUAUUCUUCAAGUCAGCUGCACAUCAGGUGCUCUGUCAUCCUGAAAAGAUAUCCAGGAAUGUGGAGGGAAUAAAUCACAGCUGCUUUCACACUUGCUGCUUACAUUAAAAAGGAUUUGUUUC